GAUCCAAAGCUCUGACUUCCCUCAUGUCCUUGCUAAAACCCUAGCUAGGAUGCCCUCUAUUUAUAAGGGAAAAUUCGCGACUCUAAACCGAGUCCAAAUCCAACACGAACUCCUCUGUCCUGGUCGGUAUUUUGCCCGUGGGGCCCGCAUACAACCUCGGAUUGAGAUGAAUCCAAAAGAAAAGUUAUUCGUCUCGACGACGUGCACAACUUUCAUGUAGACCACUUUUCCAUCCGAUGCCAUCUUGAUGACGCUAAUAUUUAAUCUUUAAACAGCUCUCAUUCAGCCACGGCUGACCUACAUAUCUUCACGUCGAUGCCACUCCGUGCCAUCAACUCUUCUUGUGAUGUCUUCAAAACUCGACCAUCACGUAUCGAAUAUCUCCAAUACCGUACAUAUCCGGUAUAAACAAUUACGACAAACCGGUGCCCUCCCGGAUCAUCGUAGGCUUCACUUCCGUUGUUCCUUCGCACGAACGUCCCGCAUGACCUUGAUCCUCGACCUCACCUUCUCCCAAGCUUCAUUCCUCGAUCCCGUCAUCGACCACGUUCCUCUAGCUCCGGCAACACCUGAAAGCGAACACACAAAUAACCAGUACGAGCACAAGUCCAUGACUUGACUCAGGGUAAGUUCCACACAACUCACGCCAUGUUUUCACAUAAGAAACUAAUGGAUCAGCACACCACUAGCAAAGCACUUAGUCCAAACAAGAUACAUGUCAUCACAUAAAUAUCCAUAUUAUCCAAAGUAUACACAUCAAUGUUUCAUCUAAAACACUUGCCAAUGUUACACAUCACCUAUGAUUUCACAAUCUCCCCCUUGAUGAAAACAUUGGCAACAUCUUCUUAACAACACUAGACAUUGAACAUUCACUUAACUCUCAGAUUUUCAAGGUUUUGAAAAGAAAAUGAAAACCUCAAAAAGUUGGAGAAACACCAAUAAAUGUAAAAUAUGGUCUGUAUAUGUGUUGAAAUCUCUCCCCCUUUGACAAUGAAUUUCAUCAAAACCACACAAAAAUAUUUCCCCUGCUUCAACUUUUUUUUCUUUAAACUAAAGCGAUUUUUUUUAUAUUUUAUUUUUUUUUGUUGUAAUGAGCAUUAUGAAACAUCAUGAACAUGAUAAUUGUGCAUCCAAUUUAUGUAAAAAGUAGUUGUACUCGACAUGUAUGUAAGUAUGAUGUAAUCUAUACAUGACUAAAACUCAAGUAUUUUUACGAUUUAUUGCAAGACAUGGUCUCCCCCUGUCAACUACAUCAAUACUUGAAUACAAAAUAACUUGCAGCACAUUACAUUAAACAAAGCACUUUAUAAAAGCAUAAUAUUUAUUUUCAUUGAAUUUAUAUGCCAAGUCAAUUCAACCUUGCCAAGCCUAUAUUUAAAACACCAUGCCAAGCCUAUGUCCAGAGUGCAAUGAUUAGCAAUCAGAAGCUUAAGGCAAUGAUAAGCAAUCAGAAGCUUAAGACAAAGGUUUCAAUAAACACAGCAACCUCCAAGUUCAUACCAAAGUGCAAUGGUAAGCAGUCUCGUGAAGAUGUAGUGCGACAUUGGCAUAUUUAUUUAGUAAAAAUUUCUUGACACCACGUGUCUUUGUAUAUUUGGAACUUUGAUACCAUUAUAUUUUCAUCAUUGCUAGUAAUUAAGUAUCCAAGACCAAAAUAGCUAACAAAGUUUAACCAUGACAAGAUUUAGUUCAAGUUAUCAUUCCUAUUAGAAGUCAUGUGAUAGACUAUUUCAUACGAGCAUACAUAUAAAAUGACAAUGUUCUCAAAACAUAAACGUGGUUGCAAAAAUGUCAUUUGAGGAUGGAAUACAAUGCUCAUUACUUUUUCAGAUUUUUUAUUUAUUAAAGAUAAAAGAACGAAAAAGAUAUUUUACAUGUCGUACACAAAGAACAAACUCCCCCUCAAACCAUCCCGUAUGGUUUGAUUACUCCAAGUUCACCUCGAAGAAAAGCAAACCGAGAAGAAUCCAAUGGUUUAGUAAAAAUGUCUGCCAAUUGACGUUCGGUAUCUAUAAAGUUGAGCACAACAUUUUCUUUUUCAACAUGAUCUCUAAGAAAAUGAUAUCUUAUAUCUAUGUGCUUAGUUCUAGAAUGUUGCACUGGGUUUUUAGCAAUACAUAUAGCACUAGUGUUAUCACAAUAAAGUGGUACACUUUCUAAAAUAACCCCAUAAUCUUUCAUUGUAGCUAUUAUCCAUAAAAUCUGUGAGCAACAGCAAGCAGCAGCUACAUAUUCACUUUCAGCAGUAGACUGUGCAACAGAACUUUGUUUCUUAGAAGACCAAAGUACUAAAGAAUCACCCAAAAAUAAGCAUGUACCAGAUGUACUCUUUCUAUCAAUUCUACAACCUCCAAAAUCAGCAUCCGAAAAUGCACGCAAUAUAAUACUAGAGGAAGCAGAAAACCAAAUGCCAAAAGAUUGGGUGCCAUGUAGAUACCUGAAAAUCCUCUUGACAGCUUGUAAAUGUGAUGUACGUCGAGAAGCUUGAAACCGUGCACACAAGCAUACAGAAAAUUGUAUAUCCGGUCUAGAGGCAGCAAGAUAAAGAAGUGAACCAAUCAUACUCCUAUACAUCUUUUGGUCAACAGGUUCACCAUCCUCAUCAAGAUCAAGCGACGUCGUAGAUUCCAUUGGUGUCAUAAUAGGCUUGCAGUUUUCCAUCCCAAAACGUCGUAGCAGAUCCUUCGUAUACUUACUUUGAUGUACAAAGGUGCCCUCCUUUGUUUGCUUGAUUUGUAGCCCCAAAAAGUAAGUAAGUUUGCCCAUCAUGCUCAUCUCAAAUUCCCUGCUCAUAGUUUCUAAAACUUCUGACACCAAAGCAUGAGAGGCACGCCCAAAGAUAAUAUCAUCAACACAAACUUGUACGAAAAGUUGAUCAUUGCCAUGCUUGAGUACAAAUAAGGUUUUAUCAACAUUUCCCAUGGUAAACCCCUUUUCAAGUAAAAAAAAAUUUAACCUAUCAUACCAUGCACGUGGGACUUGUUUUAAACCAUACAAAGUCUUUGAGAGUUUAUAAACAUGGUUUGGGAAAUUUGGAUUCUCAAAACCCGGUGGUUGCUUAACAUAAAACUCCUCAUGAAUGAAGCCAUUGAGAAAAGCACUUUUAACAUCCAUUUGAUCAAGCUUGAAACCUUUAGAUGCAGCGAAUGCCAAUAAAAUUCUUAUAGCUUCUAAUCUAGCAACAGGGGCAAAAGUUUCAUCAAAAUCAAGACCCUCAAUUUGAGUAAAACCUUGAGCAACCAACCUAGCCUUGUUGCGAACAAUAACACCAUCCUCACUUUGUUUGUUUUUAAAAACCCAACGUGUACCAAUAAGGGUAUGACCUGGAGGUGGUGAAACAAGAGUCCAAACUUGGUUACGCUCAAAAUUUUCUAAUUCCUCAUGCAUGGCAUUGAUCCACGAUUCAUCAGUAAAUGCAUGAGAUAUAUCUUUGGGCUCAAAAGAAGCAACAAAUGCAGAAUGAUUGUGAGGGUUAGAAUCGAUAAACCUUGACCGUGUGACUCUCUCAGUCAUGCUUCCAAUAAUCUGUUCAGGAGGGUGCCACUUUUGAAUGUGUCGGGGUGCUGAAAUAUUUGACUCAGCAGCUUGCUCAACCCCAGCUUGACUAGUCGAGGUAGUCUCCUGAGGGUGAUCAACUGUAGCAGCAGUAGUAGUAGGUGUAGGAACAGCUACAGAUGGUGCAUGGACAGCAGGGGGCAUGCCAUCCUCCUCAUCAUCUUCAUCAUCCAAAAAUAUUCCCUCCCCCUGAACAUAUGUUCCUGCAUUAGAAACAAGAGGACUAGAGCCAGAACUAGCCUCAUCAAAAGUCACUUCACUGGUUUCCAUUAGUCGGUUAGUCUCGUAAACAUAAACACGGUAACCACGUGAAUGAGCAGGAUAUCCAAGAAACAUGCCAUCAUAUGAUCUAGACUCAAACUUAUCUAGAUUGCCAGAUUUAAGAACAAAGCAUUUGCAUCCAAAAACUCUUAGGUGAGAUAUAACAGGUUUACGUCCAAAUCGUAGUUCAUAUGGCGUUUUACCAAUUUUGGAUCUCAAGAACACACGAUUUGAAACAUAACAAGCAGUAGAUAUAGCUUCAGCCCAAAACUUUCUAGGAGUAGAAAAUUCAUCAAGCGUAGUACGGGCCAUCUCAACUAGAGUUCGAUUCUUACGCUCCACUACACCAUUUUGUUGUGGUACAUAAGGUGCAGAAAAUUGAUGUUCAAUGACAAGUUCAUCACAAAACUGAUUAAAAUAUGAAUUCUUAAAUUCAGUUCCAUUAUCACUCCUGAUAGUUUUCAAAGAUCCUGGGUGCUCAACACUUAAUCUAUUCACAAGACUCUUAAAAUGACUAAAAGCCUCAUCCUUAGAUGCCAUAAAAUAAACCUAAGAAUAUCUUGAAUAAUCAUCAACAAUCAGCAGAACAUACCACUUACCACCAAAAGAUUGUACUCUUGAUGGACCAACUGUAUCAAGGUGUAGAAACUGUCCUGGAGCAUCAGUCAUGACACCAGUAAUGCGUGCCUGAGAACCUGCAACCAUCUUACCAUGUCUACAAGGAGAGCAUACAACAUGUUUUUCUCCCUUAAGUUUAGGCAAACCAUUUAAGACAUUCAUACCACUAAUGCGAGUAAGAUGAUCAAAACCAAUAUGCCCAAGUCUACGAUGCCAAAAUAAUAAAUUUGUAGAUGUGUUGGCAACUAGACACCUAAAUUUUGCAUUUGAAGCAGCAUGAAAAUCAGCCUUAAAACUUUCCCAAAGCGUGAUAUAUCAAAAACAAGAUCACCCGAAGCAUCUAAAACUUUGCAAGCACUCUUCUUGAAAGAUACUUCAAGAUCCUCAUCAAUCAUUUGGGAAACCGACAAUAAGUUGUAUUUUAGAUUUUCAACCAAAGCAACAUCUUUGAACACAAAAUUGUCGGUUACCUUUACUGUACCUUUCCCAACAACAGUAGAGGUAGAAGCAUCUCCAUAGGUUACACUUUCAGCCCGAGAUGCACGUUUGAGGAAGGAGAACCAAUUUUUAUCACCGGUCAUGUGACGAGAACAACCGGAGUCCACUAGUCAUAUGUUCUCCUUCCUCACGCGAAGUGCCUACAAACAAACACAUGCCGAGAUCUCAGUACUGGAUAGAUAAAAAGCUUUUAGGUAUCCAGUACUGAGAUACACGACGAGUAGGCAGAGCACAAGUUUCUUUAUACAUUGGGACAGAUUGUACAUGCCUCAUGCAAGUGGAAACGGAAGGUAAAACAUUCACCCUAGGCACAUAACGGGGAGUAGUAGUUUUAUCAUGAGCAUAAUGUGCAUUGAAGGAAUUAGAUCUAGCUUGUUUUCUUUCCUUUUUAAUUACUCUAGCUAGUCUAAAACAAGAACCUACAGCAUGUCCAGGUUUAUUACAAUAAGUGCAAGUGUACCUACUUCCAGAUUUAGCAUGUGAUGUAUGACCUACAUUUGCACUUGUUGAAGUAUCAUUAGACAUGAUGCCAGCAGAUCUAAAAAUCACAUUGGUUGGCUUGUCAGUUGUUUCAAAAAUUCCAUUGCCUAGUGACUUAACUAUAUUGGGUGGAUUAGCAUUAAAAUGAGCAUAUGCAUUAAAACCAAGUCCGGUCUUGUUCUUACUCACUUUAGACUUAUCUAAGAUCAUAUUCAGAUUUUUGUGCCCACUAGAAAAUUUCUGCAAAGAUGCUUGUAAAUAAUUAACUUGGUGAGACAGGGCAAUACAAUUAUCACAAGCACUAUCCAUGAUUUGUUUUCCACUUUUACAAUUAGCGCACAAAGAAACCUCAUGGAUGUGUAAAGCAUUUUCAACAUGAGAAACCCUAGCAUUUGCAUCUUUCAACUUCAAUUCAAGAAUAUGACAAUUAUUACAAGAAAUUGAAUCUGUCAAAUCAGAAGUAUCCAUGCUAGCAUCAUUAAUUUGUUUACGUUAAUGCACAAUAGGUUUCUCAUUGUUUUCUAAUGCAACUCUAAGCUUAUCAAGAGUAUCAUCAUGAAUAGAACGUAAAGAGGUAAGCUCAGAGUAUAUAGAAUCACAAGACUUGCAGGAAUCAUCAUCAGGAAUCAUAGACUUAAGUUUAGUAAUUUUAGAAUUCAAGGAUGCAAUUUUCAAGUCAUAUUUCUUAAUUCUUUUAGUAGCAUGAUCAAGCAAGGAACUCAAUUUACUAGCACUUUUAAGUAAUUCAUCAUAAGAAAGUUCUACCUCAUUGUUGCUGUCACUGUCGUAGUCGUCGCAGGAGGUAACACUCGUUGCUAGCCAUAAGACACAUCCCAUUAAUGUCGCGCUUGCCUUUGGAUGCAUCAUCUUCAUCAGACUCGAUAUCCACAUCACUCAAGCAUGGUUCACCAUAUUCAUUCAUUACAGAGAAAAUACUCUGAGCCACCGCUCGAGCAAAGUCGCCCCUCCUUUUAUUCUUGAUGUUGAAGGAGCUCUUCUUCUUCUUGUCCUCCCCAUUUUCUUCUUUCGCCAUCUUGGAUAAGAAUUUAUGACAAUUUUGGCGAAAGUGAUUUGGAUCACCACAUUCAAAGCACCUUGGAGCAUUGUUCCCACCUCUCUUCCUUGAACGAACAUUUUGCAGGGCACGUGUAAAACGAGAGGUCAGGAGUGCCAAUUCUUCCUCUGGAUAUUGCUCUAGCUGUUCAUCAGUUAGUUGAGACAAAGAAGACAAAGCAUAGCAAUAUGUAGAAGUACCAUCAUUAGAGCUGCCAGGGUUAGUAACAAGUGCAAUUGAUUUGGAACCGGUUCUCCUAGCAAGAAUAUCUAAUUCAUGAGUUUUCAAUUUUGAGUACAGAAUAUCAAGUGUAAGUGUGCUCAUGAUAGUGGAUUCUCUAAUAGAUGUAACUUUUAUCUCCCAUAUGGACAUAUCUAAUGCACUCAAAAGUUGCCUAGAACCAUCAGCAUCAGUAUAAGUAACACCUAAUGCACGUAAGUUGCCUAGAACCAUUGUCCGCGGGAAGCUCAUAGGGCUUGGCGAUCUUCUCUCAUAUGGCGUAUCUUUGUGCCAUGACGUAUGCCUUCAUCUUCACCUUCCAAAACUGAAAAUCAACACCAUCGAAAACACAGGGUUUGGUAGAAUACCUAUCCAUAUCUAGCAAGUCUAAUCAACCGGUUAAUAUAAUUAGAGAGAACUUACUCUGAUACCAAUUGUGAGAUCGAUCAGAGGGGGGUGAAUGAUUGCGCGGAAGCAAAUUAAAACUUUUCCCGAAAGUUCAAACCCUAAAUCACCUUUCUGUCCAUGAUAGUAAAACAGCCGUAACUUUUGAUUGGAUGAACCAAAAAAUGCGUAUGAGUAUGAAAAAGAAAGAUAUUGAAAUUAUCUAACCAACACAACAAGAAUCAGCUCAAUCGGACGUACUAAUUAAAAGAUAUGAUCAAAAUAGUAACAGCUGAUAGAAAGUUACGAGGAUUAAUCUAAAACCAAUUUCGAGGAAUAACAAGAAAGAUGAAUUAAUCGCAAUUUUCACUUGAUCUCGUGAUAAACCAGCAGCAAAAUAUUAUAAACUCGUGAUGAACCUGCACCAAAGUGUUAGAAAGAUCUAGCACGAUGAAUCCACGAAGAUCCGAGAAGAACAGAGAUGACACCUCCAACGAAUCUCUUUAUUGCAACGAUGUUGAUCUAUUACAAAAGAUGCAACCAUGCAUCGAAGAACUCUCCAAUAAUUGAUCUAGAUCCAAAGCUCUGAGUUCCCUCACGUCCUUACUAAAACCCUAGCUAGGAUGCCCUCUAUUUAUAAGGAAAAAUUCGUGACCCUAAAUCGAGUCCGAAUCCAACACGAACUCCUCUGUCCUGGUCGGUAUUUUGCCCGUGGAGCCCGCAUACGAUCUCGGAUUGAGAUGACUCCAAAAGCAAAGUUGUUCGUCUCGACGACGCGCACAACUUUCAGGUAGACCACUUUUCCAUCCGACGCCAUAUUGAUGAUGCUACUAUUUAAUCUUUAAACAGCUCUCAUCCAGCCACGGCUGGACCUACAUAUCUUCACGUCGAUGCCACUCCGUGCCAUCAACUUUUCUUGUGAUGUCUUCAAAACUCGACCAUCACGUAUCGAAUAUCUGCAAUACCGUACAUAUCCGGUAUAAACAAUUACGACAAACCGGUGUCCUCCCGGAUCAUCGUAGCCUUCACUUCCGUUGUUCCUUCGCACGAACGUCCCGCAUGACCUUGAUCCUCGACCUCAGCUUCUCCCAAGCUUCAUCCCUCGAUCCCGUCAUCGACCAUGUUCCUCUAGCUCUGGCAACACCUGAAAGCGAACACACAAAUAACCAGUACGAGCACAAGUGCACGACUUGACUCAGGGUAAGUUCCACACAACUCACGCCAUGUUUUCACAUAAGAAACUAAUGGAU
rnacentral:lncRNA from 1 species